rnacentral:rRNA from 1 species
CCUACGGGUGGCAGCAGUGGGGAAUAUUGGACAAUGGGCGAAAGCCUGAUCCAGCCAUGCCGCGUGUGUGAAGAAGGCCUUCGGGUUGUAAAGCACUUUCAGUGGGGAAGAAAGCCUUGGGGCUAAUACCCUCGAGGAAGGACAUCACCCACAGAAGAAGCACCGGCUAACUCCGUGCCAGCAGCCGCGGUAAUACGGAGGGGUGCGAGCGUUAAUCGGAAUUACUGGGCGUAAAGCGCGCGUAGGCGGUCUGAUAAGCCGGUUGUGAAAGCCCCGGGCUCAACCUGGGAACGGCAUCCGGAACUGUCAGGCUAGAGUGCAGGAGAGGAAGGUAGAAUUCCCGGUGUAGCGGUGAAAUGCGUAGAGAUCGGGAGGAAUACCAGUGGCGAAGGCGGCCUUCUGGACUGACACUGACGCUGAGGUGCGAAAGCGUGGGUAGCAAACAGGAUUAGAUACCCUUGUAGUC